rnacentral:rRNA from 1 species
CUUGGUACUCUUGCUAAUCUGGAACCACACCAAUCCAUCUCGAACUUGGUUGUGAAAAAGAUUAGGGGGUCGAAUUACUCGACGGUAGUCUGUCCGGAAAAUCGACUUUAGCGCCAAGGUU